rnacentral:rRNA from 1 species
UGAACGCUGACAGAAUGCUUAACACAUGCACGUCGAUGGGGAAGUGGUGCUUGCACCAUGGCAACCAUGGCGGACGGGUGAGUAACGCGUAAGGGACUUACCUGCAGGACUGGGAUAACAGGGGGAAACUCCUGACAAGACCGGAUAAUGUCAUGGAGCUGCAUGGCUUUAUGAUGAAAGGAGACGCCUGCGGAGAGCCUUGCGUCCUAUUAGCUAGUUGGUGAGGUAAUGGCUCACCAAGGCGAAGAUAGGUAGCCGGCCUGAGAGGGUGGACGGCCACAAAGGCAUUGGGAUACGGCCCUUACUGAUACGGGAGGCAGCGGUGGAGACUAGUUGAAGACGGGGGCCACCGUGGUCCAGCAACUUUGUGUGGACGAAGAAGGUUGUCGGGAUGGAAAGGGAUUACAGCAGUAAAGAAGUAAGUGGCGGGAACUGCAGGAGAAACGACCGCCUAAUACGGUC